CAGGCCUAACACAUGCAAGUCGAGGGGUAACAGAAGUAGCUUGCUACUAGAUGACGACCGGCGCACGGGUGAGUAACGCGUAUGCAACCUGCCUUAUACUGGGGGAUAGCCCAGAGAAAUCUGGAUUAAUACCGCAUAACAAUUAGAAACUGCAUGGUUUUUAAUUUAAAACUCCGGUGGUAUAAGAUGGGCAUGCGUAACAUUAGCUAGUUGGUAAGGUAACGGCUUACCAAGGCAACGAUGUUUAGGGGGUCUGAGAGGAUAGUCCCCCACACUGGUACUGAGACACGGACCAGACUCCUACGGGAGGCAGCAGUGAGGAAUAUUGGUCAAUGGACGCAAGUCUGAACCAGCCAUGUCGCGUGUAGGAUGACUGCCCUAUGGGUUGUAAACUACUUUUUUACAGGAAUAAACUUUCCCACGUGUGGGAAACUGAAGGUACUGUAGGAAUAAGGAUCGGCUAACUCCGUGCCAGCAGCCGCGGUAAUACGGAGGAUUCGAGCGUUAUCCGGAUUUAUUGGGUUUAAAGGGUCCGUAGGCGGGCUUGUAAGUCAGUGGUGAAAUCUCACAGCUCAACUGUGAAACUGCCAUUGAUACUGCAGGUCUUGAAUUUAGUUGAGGUGGGCGGAAUACGAUAUGUAGCGGUGAAAUGCAUAGAUAUAUCGUAGAACACCGAUUGCGAAGGCAGCUCACUAAGCUAAUAUUGACGCUGAUGGACGAAAGCGUGGG
rnacentral:rRNA from 1 species